GGAGAUUUCAGUUGAAACCCAGAGGCGCGAUGGAAGAAGACGACGACCUUCCCCUUUUGAUGACUUCGCUUGGCGUGUUACGACAAUCUGACGGUUGCAUUUGUAGGUGGGUGCUUUGGAUCUCACGUAAAUAGGCACGGUUGAUGCGAACGAUGGAUUUGUCUCGCGAGUUGAACAUUCUGUGGCAGGGUGCAGAGUUUCUGCGAUGGUGUUGCCCAGUUACCGGAAGAGGCAGCCGGUCGUCGAAAACCAAUAUAUGGUGGUUCUCAUCUCUGGAACUAGUUGCUUCCUGCUUGAAGUAUCAUGACAACAAUUAAACCUAUGUCCCAGUACCACUCCCUGUUGUUCUUGUCGAACCCAACCCACACAUUCAAAAGUAGGACUCGUUGAACCACAAAAUCUCCCUCUAGGACAUUCAUGGCAAACUGUACGCGACUCGAUUAGACCGGAUAAAACAGUCUUCCAAUGAGUUCAUCAUACAGCAGCAUGUUCAUCAAGUAAGGGGGAUGCAAAUGCCGAAAACUUAUCAACUAAUUAUCGAGGGAUAGAACAUGAGAGAAAUUCAGGUUGGCCAAGAAUCUUCCUAUCCUGAAGUGUAGACACUCAUUCAGUUCUCCAUGACUAAGAAGAUGAAUAGUGGAGAAUGUUUUAUCCUAGAAAGGAAGAACAUAUCAGAUAACAAACAUCUUGUAAAGUUCCCGGGAUAUCUCUGCGUUGUCCAACUCAAACUCUUGAUGUGCAUGUCUCUCUGUUCCUAAAAUACAACAUCAGACAA